UACAACAGUUAUGAGCGACGC
rnacentral:piRNA from 1 species